rnacentral:tRNA from 2 species
GGGCGCAUAGCUCAGUUGGUUAGAGCGCGUCCCUGAUAAGGACGAGGUCUGCAGUUCGAGUCUGCGUGCGCCCA